GAUGAACGCUGGCGGCGUGCCUAAUACAUGCAAGUCGAGCGAACGGACGAGAAGCUUGCUUCUCUGAUGUUAGCGGCGGACGGGUGAGUAACACGUGGAUAACCUACCUAUAAGACUGGGAUAACUUCGGGAAACCGGAGCUAAUACCGGAUAAUAUUUUGAACCGCAUGGUUCAAAAGUGAAAGACGGUCUUGCUGUCACUUAUAGAUGGAUCCGCGCUGCAUUAGCUAGUUGGUAAGGUAACGGCUUACCAAGGCAACGAUGCAUAGCCGACCUGAGAGGGUGAUCGGCCACACUGGAACUGAGACACGGUCCAGACUCCUACGGGAGGCAGCAGUAGGGAAUCUUCCGCAAUGGGCGAAAGCCUGACGGAGCAACGCCGCGUGAGUGAUGAAGGUCUUCGGAUCGUAAAACUCUGUUAUUAGGGAAGAACAUAUGUGUAAGUAACUGUGCACAUCUUGACGGUACCUAAUCAGAAAGCCACGGCUAACUACGUGCCAGCAGCCGCGGUAAUACGUAGGUGGCAAGCGUUAUCCGGAAUUAUUGGGCGUAAAGCGCGCGUAGGCGGUUUUUUAAGUCUGAUGUGAAAGCCCACGGCUCAACCGUGGAGGGUCAUUGGAAACUGGAAAACUUGAGUGCAGAAGAGGAAAGUGGAAUUCCAUGUGUAGCGGUGAAAUGCGCAGAGAUAUGGAGGAACACCAGUGGCGAAGGCGACUUUCUGGUCUGUAACUGACGCUGAUGUGCGAAAGCGUGGGGAUCAAACAGGAUUAGAUACCCUGGUAGUCCACGCCGUAAACGAUGAGUGCUAAGUGUUAGGGGGUUUCCGCCCCUUAGUGCUGCAGCUAACGCAUUAAGCACUCCGCCUGGGGAGUACGACCGCAAGGUUGAAACUCAAAGGAAUUGACAGGGACCCGCACAAGCGGUGGAGCAUGUGGUUUAAUUCGAAGCAACGCGAAGAACCUUACCAAAUCUUGACAUCCUUUGACAACUCUAGAGAUAGAGCCUUCCCCUUCGGGGGACAAAGUGACAGGUGGUGCAUGGUUGUCGUCAGCUCGUGUCGUGAGAUGUUGGGUUAAGUCCCGCAACGAGCGCAACCCUUAAGCUUAGUUGCCAUCAUUAAGUUGGGCACUCUAAGUUGACUGCCGGUGACAAACCGGAGGAAGGUGGGGAUGACGUCAAAUCAUCAUGCCCCUUAUGAUUUGGGCUACACACGUGCUACAAUGGACAAUACAAAGGGCAGCGAAACCGCGAGGUCAAGCAAAUCCCAUAAAGUUGUUCUCAGUUCGGAUUGUAGUCUGCAACUCGACUACAUGAAGCUGGAAUCGCUAGUAAUCGUAGAUCAGCAUGCUACGGUGAAUACGUUCCCGGGUCU
rnacentral:rRNA from 1 species